CUCUGUGCCGAUGCAGAGGGCACAACUGCUCUGUGGCACAGCCUCUGUGAUCUGCUGCCGCGUGAGGGUCCUGUCAUCUUGUCUUUCCGUUGCUUCUUCCUUCAGGGCACCAGGGACACCACCAAAAUGGUUUUAGCUGAUGACUGUGUUGCUCCAGUCUCUUGGGUUGUGCACGGAUUGUUUUGAAUAGGAUGAGAAAGCUCUUCUUCUCAAAUGAACACUCUUUCUCUAAUGAGAAUGUGAUCAACAUUUAAAAUCUCUCCCGGGGAAGGAACUGAGAAGGAAACAUUUUUUCUUUUUUUUCCUCGGGAGUUUUGUGACUUAUCUGCCAAGAACGUGAGGUGUGGGGGAUACUCAGACAUUUUACUCCAAAAGCCAUUUCAGAAGGCCUGAUUUUGGAAAAACAUUUUCUAUCUGACAGUUUGUGCUGCUUCUAUCUUUUCAUUUCCAGGUUGCAAUCUUUGACGGCUGAAUUUGGCACAACUAACUGACUCACUGUGUGCAUAAUCAGCCCUGUUGACCUGACUGGAGAAUGGCAGAUAGGACGCUUUGGACAAACAGAGCCAGCUACUGAAAACAGAUCUUCAUUUGGGUAAAUGCCAAGGAAUGAAGUCACAAGGCCAUGUGGAAACAAAAAAAGAAAAUCGAAUGGAGGAGUAGGAAUAACAAAAUGGAGACAGCAGCAGAAGACAGAGAGAGGUGGACAAGAGAACACCCUCAAGAUAAAGAGACCAGGGCACAGAAAGGGAAGAGGCAAAGAGACAAGUACAUGAGGAAACAUGUCAGACUUGGAGGGUCUCGCUCUGUCAACUAGGUUAGAGUGCAGUGGU